GGAUUGUUUAUGGCCGAUUCAUGCAGGUUGUCCGCAGCUGGUCUUGAUUGAAGAUGGCUUUGAACGGGAACCUGACUGUGGAUUCUUGCCCAGUGGAAUCAAGUCUGCUCACAGUGGUGGACCACAUUUGAAAGAAGGCUGGGUGAGGCUGAGAAUUUACAGAUUGUUGUAGAUAACCUGGAUGCUGUCCAGCCCUUGGUGUUGGAAGAUCCCCAACAUGGAUGGAGCACAGUGCAGGGUACCAGCAUGAUGAUUCAGAAACCCUUGAAGAUACAGUCAUAUUUUCAGCAACAGAUGGAUUUAACACUGCAGAUGGAGUGU